GAUGAACGCUGGCGGCGUGCCUAAUACAUGCAAGUCGAGCGAACAGACGAGGAGCUUGCUCCUCUGACGUUAGCGGCGGACGGGUGAGUAACACGUGGAUAACCUACCUAUAAGACUGGGAUAACUUCGGGAAACCGGAGCUAAUACCGGAUAAUAUAUUGAACCGCAUGGUUCAAUAGUGAAAGACGGUUUUGCUGUCACUUAUAGAUGGAUCCGCGCCGCAUUAGCUAGUUGGUAAGGUAACGGCUUACCAAGGCGACGAUGCGUAGCCGACCUGAGAGGGUGAUCGGCCACACUGGAACUGAGACACGGUCCAGACUCCUACGGGAGGCAGCAGUAGGGAAUCUUCCGCAAUGGGCGAAAGCCUGACGGAGCACGCCGCGUGAGUGAUGAAGGUCUUCGGAUCGUAAAACUCUGUUAUUAGGGAAGAACAAAUGUGUAAGUAACUAUGCACGUCUUGACGGUACCUAAUCAGAAAGCCACGGCUAACUACGUG
rnacentral:rRNA from 1 species